rnacentral:rRNA from 1 species
UUAGAGUUUGAUCCUGGCUCACCACGAACGAUGGCGGCGCGCCUAACACAUGCAAGUCGAACGAGCGAGAGAGAGCUUGCUUUCUCAAGCGACUGGCGAACGGUUGAGCAACGCGUGAGGAACCUGCCUCAAAGAGGGGGACAACAGUUGGAAACGACUGCUAAUACCGCAUAAGCCCACAGGUCGGCAUCGACCAGAGGGAAAAGGAGCAAUCCGCUUUGAGAUGGCCUCGCGUCCGAUUAGCUGGUUGGUGAGGUAACGGCCCACCAAGGCGACGAUCGGUAGCCGGACUGAGAGGUUGAACGGCCACAUUGGGACUGAGACACGGCCCAUACUCCUACGGGAGGCAGCAGUGGGGAAUAUUGCACAAUGGGGGAAACCCUGAUGCAGCGACGCCGCGUGGAGGAAGAAGGUCUUCGGAUUGUAAACUCCUGUUGUUGAGGAAGAUAAUGACGGUACUCAACAAGGAAGUGACGGCUAACUACGUGCCAGCAGCCGCGGUAAAACGUAGGUCACAAGCGUUGUCCGGAAUUACUGGGUGUAAAGGGAGCGCAGGCGGGAAGACAAGUUGGAAGUGAAAUCUAUGGGCUCAACCCAUAAACUGCUUUCAAAACUGUNUUUCUUGAGUAGUGCANAGGUAGGCGGAAUUCCCGGUGUAGCGGUGGAAUGCGUAGAUAUCGGGAGGAACCCAGUGGCGAAGGCGGCCUACUGGGCACCAACUGACGCUGAGGCUCGAAAGUGUGGGUACCAAACAGGAUUAGAUACCCUGGUAGUCAACACCGUAAACGAUGAUUACUAGGUCUUGGAGGAUUGACCCCUUCAGUGCCGCAGUUCACACAAUAAGUAAUCCACCUGGGGAGUACGACCGCAAGGUUGAAAGUCAAAGGAAUUGACGGGGGCCCGCACAAGCACUGGAGUAUGUGGUUUAAUUCGACGCAACGCGAAGAACCUUACCAAGUCUUGACAUCCUGCGACGCACAUAGAAAUAUGUGUUUCCUUCGGGACGCAGAGACAGGUGGUGCAUGGUUGUCGUCAGCUCGUGUCGUGAGAUGUUGGGUUAAGUCCCGCAACGAGCGCAACCCUUACUGUCAGUUACUACGCAAGAGGACUCUGGCAGGACUGCCGUUGACAAAACGGAGGAAGGUGCGGAUGACGUCAAAUCAUCAUGCCCUUUAUGACUUGGGCUACACACGUACUACAAUGGCGUUAAACAAAGAGAAGCAAGACCGCGAGGUGGAGCAAAACUCAGAAACAACGUCCCAGUUCGGACUGCAGGCUGCAACUCGCCUGCACGAAGUCGGAAUUGCUAGUAAUCGUGGAUCAGCAUGCCACGGUGAAUACGUUCNCCGGGCAUUGUACACAGCGCCCGUCA